rnacentral:rRNA from 1 species
GACGAACGCUGGCGGCGUGCUUAACACAUGCAAGUCGAACGGAAAGGCCCUGCUUUUGUGGGGUGCUCGAGUGGCGAACGGGUGAGUAACACGUGAGUAACCUUCCCUUUACUUUGGGAUAACUUCAGGAAACUGGGGCUAAUACCUGAUAGGAGCUCCUGCUGCAUGGUGGGGGUUGGAAAGUUUCGUCGGUUGGGGAUGGACUCGCGGCUUAUCAGCUUGUUGGUGGGGUAGUGGCUUACCAAGGCUUUGACGGGUAGCCGGCCUGAGAGGGUGACCGGCCACAUUGGGACUGAGAUACGGACCAGACUCCUACGGGAGGCAGCAGGGGGGAAUAUUGCACAAUGGGCGGAAGCCUGAUGCAGCAACGCCGCGUGCGGGAUGAAGGCCUUCGGGUUGUAAACCGCUUUCGCCUGUGACGAAGCGUGAGUGACGGUAAUGGGUAAAGAAGCACCGGCUAACUACGUG